AAACACUGGCAGAAACCGUAGGCAUACAUUUCCAAAAUAAAUUGGAAGAUACUGGGGCUGGAUCUGAACUGGGGGAUUGACUUGCUCUGCCAAGCCCUCAAAAUACAACUUUUCAGGAUAUUUCUUGUGAUAACUCAUAUGCUUAGUAUGCCAGUCAUUCUGCAGCCAAUGCUCUGGAGAAUUCUCCUUCACAAAAUCACUCACUCUGUUUCUGAAAUCAUUAGGCUUGAGUAAGAGUAAUUGAAUAAUGAAGUAACAGACUUGAGCUUCAUUUCCUUCAUGACUACGCAUAGCCAAACAAAGUAUCAACCUGUCCAGUGUUACAAUGUUGUAUUUCCACACCAUAUCAUUGAGAAUCUCAAUACACUUAUUGAGCUGCUGACCUCCUGCAGAGGUAGAGAAUUCAUACACCAAGAAAUCCGCAAAUGUCCUGACGUGUGCCACAAGAGCUCUGGCCCC
rnacentral:lncRNA from 1 species